rnacentral:rRNA from 1 species
GGGUUGUGAGGUUAAGCGACUAAGCGUACACGGUGGAUGCCCUGGCAGUCAGAGGCGAUGAAGGACGUGCUAAUCUGCGAUAAGCGUCGGUAAGGUGAUAUGAACCGUUAUAACCGGCGAUUUCCGAAUGGGGAAACCCAGUGUGAUUCGUCACACUAUCAUUACGUGAAUACAUAGCGUAAUGA